ensembl:lncRNA
CAUGUUGCACAGUUCUCAACAUGUGGAGGAAGGGUGGUUUUGCUAGAGAACUUUAUCCUUAUUUUCCAGAAAUGCCAUUGCUGUGUGGUCAGCAUCUCACCUGCAGAAUUUCCCAGUAGGGUUUAUACGCAGCAUUAGCCCGACUCUGCUGCUGGUGGCUUUGCGUGACUCUAAAGGGAACAGACCUAAGGCAGAUUUAAACCUUCCCCAGCUUUCUACGGACUUGCUGCUGUCACCUCUCCAUAAUGCAGCUACAAUUAACUUUGCUGGAAUUUCUAUAUUUGAAGCAGCUUUAAAUUCGAGCCUGAACUUACAGACGUGGAUGCAGAUGGUCUUUGCUACUGUCUGUAUAAGCCCUUGGUUUUAGCACUAAAAAAGCCCACCCACGUUGACAAAUUUGCCCUUUGCGGUCUGGCUUCAGUGCAGCCAGUAAAAAUAGCGAGUGAUACGACAGACAGAAUGGGCCCUAAACUAUAUUUUUUGAUCACUUUUCUUAGCUCCAGACUAAAGAGCAAGGCAUCCCAUGUUGACAGAUUGGGGGGGAAUAUACCAAGCAAAGGGAUCUGCUACCAAGAUGCCCAUAAACCAGCAGUUCUGCCAUCCUCCAGAAUGUGAACUUUUCCCUCGGUUUUUAGUUGUAUUUUGAUUAAAGUGUAAAUACCAGCAACUGGCACAUGUCAGACGGUGUCAGAGCCGCAUACCAGAGCUUUCUUCAUGUUCAAUCUUUAGUGCCACUUUACUUAUCCGUGGAUUUUGUUAGGACUUCUGGGGCAUAGCUCAUUAUUUUUACCACUGUAACCAGCAGAGUGGUCAUAUAAUUAUUUCCCCUUAAAUCCAGGAGAACUUGUCUGGCUUAUUGGGCAGGGAGCUUAAUUGUGAGAAGGCUCUGGAGGACAGUUGGCACUGCAUGAUAGCUAUACCGUUAGCAUGUUACCCGCCCCUGAAAAGGAGAAUCCAAGCUCUCAUCCAUACCCCCAAAUCCUGCCGGCUCACCGGGUACCGAAGCACUCCCACACUUGAGUUGGAGACUUCUCUGCUCAGACAAGGAGGAUUACGGACAUCAUAUGACUAAUUCUGCAAUGACGGUAUAUGCUUAAUUGGUAAAGGACUGCAUUUUGUAUCUUUUUUUAACCUGGGACAUAGCGUCAAAGGUCUGCCUGAUGUUUGAGGUUCAUUUCAGGUAUUUUCUUCAUUGAGAUUCGCUGUACCUAAGGUUACUGUGACCUCCAGCUUUGUCUUGUGCCCUUCAGCACUACUAUGCUUCUUAUUGAUGAGAAACCAGUAUUCAAAUUCCCCUGAAACAUCAGGCUGUGCUGCUCUCGCAGCUCACAGAGAGGCUUCCCUGAACCUCAGGUAUAAAAGCUCUGGCUGUUGCAAAAGCCAGUGGCCAGAAGUCACAAAAAGCAUGAUAUUUACGUAAGUGGACUGUGAUACCAAACUUUAGGCAUUCAUUUUAAUGUCCUGCUUUCAAGAUCUCUGCCUCAGUUUCUCUGUAAAAUGCAAAUACAGCAUUGGUGAUGCUUAGCUCAUUAAAAAAAUAAAUACCUCGCUAACUUCUAAGAGUGUGUGUUGCAGCAAGUUAAAGUCAAUGCAUCUUAAAUUCAGUGGAAGAUGUUUCUACCAGCUGAUGGUACUUAACCAUUCAAACAGAUUACCAAAAGCCACAGCAGCAAAAUCCCUUCUGCUUGAAAUGUUUAGGACUGCCUGGAUGUCUGUCAGGAAAAUGUGCUCCCAAAUCGGUGGUAGCAACACUGGAAUCACUUCUUGGUGACAAUCCUGGUGACUGUAGCAGCCUCCAGUAAUGGCAAUCUAUUAAUCUCUUGCUCUGUGCUCGUAAAGCACUCUGUCCUCCCAUUAAAAGCUGAAGGUAAAUAAAUACAGGUCUCAUCAUCAGAUGAUUUUGCUUGCAUAGAGGUUACCUACAGAGCCUCUACAUGAGAUGGACAAGCAGAAGGGCGAAAGAAAAUCUUCCCGUGCUUGGUGUAAGGCUAGCCAGGGCACAAUGCUGUGAGCUUGGUGCUCAGGAGCUGCUGAGUCGCACUGGUCUUUCCACUUUUCUGUGCCCAACAGCCAACGUUGCUGAUACCAGCUGGGGGUAGCAGGAGAAGAGCAGGGUGUUAAAUCUCCUCUGUGCUGGCAUGUGUUUGGACCAGGCUAGAGCAGCAUUAAGUGCUGCACUCUUUUGGGUGGCUACCAGCAUAUCCCAUGGAGUUUUGCCACACCUAAAAAAGAGCCUGGGAAUAUAACAGCCCUUGAAUCUGCAGAGUGAGAACAACAUGUUCAGUUACUGCCCUAAGACUGUUCCCUAACCCCGCCCAUUUAAGUUACUGUCCUCUGUAAAACAAUGCAGUAGGUAUUUACCCACAUUGUCUUCACCUGUUGAUGUUUUACCUGAAAAUGCAGUGCAGGUGUUUUAAAAUGCGUAUGGUGGCUACAGCAGCCUAGAGCGGAGGCCUGUCAUCUCUCCAGCUCAUUCACCUUUCUCCCUCCCCAGGUGUUCCAUUGGCAGAAGAACAUCUUUCGAAUUCCAAUAUCUUAUUUAAAAACCUAGACUUGGGGGUUUUGAACUGGUUGCAAUUAAGCUUUAACAAUGGGAAGGUUCAAAUGGAUGUGCUGUGCCCCUCUUUGAAAUGGCUUUGCCUAAGAAAACCAUCUGUAUCUCCCCUGCAGCCAGCCGGUCUAUGCUGCAGGCUUUACUUCCAGUACUCUUACCUGUGGCGUUGUGCCUCCUGACACGCUCAAGACAUGUAUGGGAGGACUAAUAAAAUAUGUCCUGGAGUGUUUGGUGUAUAUUUAGAGUUUAACCCAGAUUAUUGGCCUUUGUCCCAGAUUUCAGUGGUUAGGGCAUAAGAAUGCACGGUGAGGCCAAGUGCUUCCUGCAUUGCUUUCAGGAAGGCUUUAAUCACAAAAAGUACCCUCUCAGAGAAGGCAAAUAAUUAAGCUUUUGUGGCACAUACUCUGCUGCCAUUAGCAGGAGGCGGUAAACACUCAAGACCACAGUAUAAAUAGAGCUAGGCAGAUGCACUAAGCUUUAAAGUGCAACAUUACUGUGUUACAUGGUAUUGAGUAAUGAACUGGACAUGACUAGCAAGGUAGUUUUCCUUUCGUCUUUAUCGGGACUGGAGUUUGUUUUUUACAUCAUAAAGUGUCUUGUCUUUGCUGCUCAUCAAGGGAAAUGCUGGUGUAAACCGCCUGGAUGAAACUCAUCCCACACUGUGGCAGCUGGCAGUGCGCAAGUGGGGAUAUUCAUCUGCCAUCUAGUCUAUCCUACUCAUUUCGGCAGUGUUUAUUCAACCUGGCUCUUCCUGUAGUACUGGGCGCUACACACAGGGCAUCACGAGAUUUGCCUGAAGAGUAUUUUCCCUCCUGCGUAACUUCAAGCCUUCCCUCAAGCCAAAACCUGCUGUGGUUUGGUCCUUGCUGAGCAUAUUGGGAAGGGAUUGCUCCUUUUCUCUCUGCUCCAGCUUUUGCCCCUUAGAAGAUUGUCUCUCUUCAGCCUGCCAUACCCAAAACAAGCCAAUUCAUUUGUCCCUUCCUCAUAUUUCUGUCUGCACAGCAUGACCCUCACUCCAUCCCUUGGGUUGCUUAGCCGUAUCUCAGGCUAAAUUCCCUUGCUGAAGUCCUAGAUUCCCCAUGCCACCAUCUCUGGCAUGUGCUCUUCAGUUCUGGGGGACAGAAGAGCCCAGAACUAUGUUCAGCCCUCCAGUUACACUGCAGGUCUUUGGGAUCAUGAAGGGCUCCCUGACAGACUCAUCCAAGCAAUUUUUGGCUUUCACAGGCUUCCACCUUGGUAUUACCUCUUUACCUUCCUAUCGACCUCUUCUUGCCCAGCUGCCCUAAUGCCCUUUCUCAGACUGGUUCCUUAGCUUCACAGCAUAGGACAUACCACAUGUCAUAAAAAGUAUAAAAUAUAAAAACUGUUCUGUUAAGAAUCCAGCCACUGCUUCAUCAAUUUUGUAGGGAGACAGGAGUGACGCAUUGCCGAUACAGAUGCAGGUAAAAUCCUGCUGCACUCAGUCACACCUGUGCUUUCCUUCCCAGCGCUCCCCAGCGUUCAACUCUUGGACAUUUUGGCAUAUUAUCAGUGAUAAAUGUGUUCACAAGCGAGAGCAGCCAGCCCUGCAGGCUGUGAUGCCAGGGUAUUGUGGGUUCCUGGCAUGGGCAGAAUGAGACAGAGAUAUUUUUGUAGUCAGCCUCAAGUUUUUAUCUAUUUAUAGUUAUCUUGGUGACCCCUAAAUUGGGAUUAGGUCGUUUGGCAGGAAGACUGCACUUCGUGUCUUGACUUUCCUGGCCCCUUAUCCAUCCAACACUCUUUUGCUCUCAAAGCCACUGAUCUUGUCCUUUAUUUUUGCCACCAAAUGCCACUCAUUUGUGUUGAGAAGCAGGAACAGGCAGCAGGGAAAUUAUCAGUAAUCCAGCAAGCAAUCAACCUCAUUUUUAAUCCCAUUUUUUGUGGCCUGUUGAUGCUGUGGGAUGAUACAUGGACCAUUAAUUAUUCAUCUACAAUAGUUUAAAUGAUUGCAAGUGGCUACAAACACCAGAUUUGAAAGGAAUUCAAUAAUAAUGGAGGGAGAAAAAAGAUUUUUUUUUUAAAAACAAGGAUGGCAUGGGACAGGGAUGAAAAGGUGCAGGACAUAUGGGAGAGGUAUUGAUUGGGGGUAUUCUGGUGGCCUAGGUUCCAGCUCAAUCUUCUGCAGGAUCUCUGAUAGGCUUUGCUUUACUUAAGAGGUAAGUCCUGAUCAGAAUGGGAACGACAGGCUUUAUCCACAGAAGUAAUUAAAAUGUUUCACUCCCUGGCAGGGGAGUUAAAAUCAAUUUCUCAAAUACAAGAUGAGGAGCAACUGGCCAGGCUGCUGCCAUGCGGAAAAAAGAUCCAGGGCUGUGAUGCUUGGGAGUACAGCAGAAAUCCAGUCCUGCAAAAAUCCAGCAGUCCUCCUGGGAUGCCUGUUCAGAGGGGCAUGCUGCAGAAGGCAUGAGACAAUCUUUCCAUUAAACUUGGCAGUGGUGGCAUCUUGGCUUAAGAACAAUUUCCACACUUCAGGAAAGAUAUGGGUCAGCAGGGAAAAGCCCCAAGAGGUGCAAAAAGAAUGACUGGAGUUGUAGAAAACCUGCCUUUGAAGAAAGGGCGAGAAAGAGAGAAGUGUGUGGUCUGAAGAGGGGACCAAGCUGAGACAAAGCAAGUUGCCAAAUACAUGCAAGGCUGAAGCAAAGAGGAGCAGCAUGGUAAACUCUAAAAUAUGCCUGGAGCUCUAAAACUAAAAGACAAACACCUCAAAACCAGUCCACAAAGAUGGGAUUUAGUCACGUGGCUAAGACUGCGUGGGGUAGGAUGGAGCCAUGUCUACGGCUUCUCUCCGAGAGAGCUGAGGACUACAAAUCUUCAUCAAAGGCAAGAGGAAUUGUCUGAGGAAUAAGGACUUCAAGAUUCAAUGAGUGCAUAUCAUGCCAGAGAGGCAGAAACUAACUGAAGUCUUGAACCAAAUUAUGCUAUUAUGGAUGUGUGCUUGCACAGAAAGCCAGCGAAUGGGCACUACAGCACCUCAGCUAUAUUUUGGUGGUGUUACCGAUACCUGAGUUACGCAGCUUUUUGCUCAAAGCUUCUACAAGUAACCCCAACCAGGCUGGGAACACUAAGUGCAAAGUUACGGGAGAUGACUGUGGCAAUUUCUGAAUGACAAGAGCAUGUAAAAGAAAUGUCAAGAGUCUGUGUGCUUCAAGCUUUUAUGUUUCAAGGAGAAACAAGAAGAAAGGAGGGACAAUAAAUCAAAUGCAACAGCUUAGCAUGCUCCAUCUCUGAGACUUAACCUCUUGAAAGCCAUGUCCCCGACACAACGCGGGCCACACUCCUUUGAUCGGGUCCAUUAUUUUCUGCGAAGUGAUGGAAGCAGCAGGGUGAGCUCCUCCAUGCAUGCCCAGGGGCCAUGUAUACUAUGCUUUGCUUGACAUGUGCUAUGCAUUUAUGGGUUAACAUCAAACAUGAGCUGAUUUAUAAUUUUUAAUCAAAAAAGGAUUAUAACCUAAUAAAUCCUAAUAACA